GGGAUAUUCCACAAUGGGGGAAACCCUGAUGCAGCGACGCCGCGUGAGUGAAGAAGUAUUUCGGUAUGUAAAGCUCUAUCAGCAGGGAAGAAAAUGACGGUACCUGACUAAGAAGCCCCGGCUAACUACGUGCCAGCAGCCGCGGUAAUACGUAGGGGGCAAGCGUUAUCCGGAUUUACUGGGUGUAAAGGGAGCGUAGACGGCGAGUCAAGUCUGAUGUGAAAGGUGGGGGAUCAACCCCCAAACUGCAUUGGAAACUGGUUUGCUAGAGUGUCGGAGAGGUAAGUGGAAUUCCUAGUGUAGCGGUGAAAUGCGUAGAUAUUAGGAGGAACACCAGUGGCGAAGGCGGCUUACUGGACGAUCACUGACGUUGAGGCUCGAAAGCGUGGGGAGCAAACA
rnacentral:rRNA from 1 species